CUAAAUAUCAGGUAAAAAAAUGCUUUUUUUAAAAUUUAAUUUGGAGGAGAAUACCCAUAACAGCCAUGUCAUCAACCUGAAAACAUCUUUUACCCAGCAAGGACGCUCCAGCAGAGAUUGCAUCUUUGAACAAUCCACCCGAGUACCCUGCACAAGCCUACUGUAAUAAAGAAAGCAAGCCCUUUAUCAUCACACACCAACUCACACUAGAAUCUGCCAGAAAGAUCAGCAAACAGUGACAGGAUCUAUUUGAAGAAGAUAUUCCCAGCCCUCCUCUACUCCUGCCUUAUGAACAACUUCCCAGCCUCGUUCAAUUCAUCAUCAGACGCAAACUCCUUGCUGAUCAACAAACACCAAAUGGAAUAAAACCCUGCUUAAAUACCAGUGCAAAACCUGAAUCAACUCUCAGCCACUUGACUCUUCUGCCACCACCAGCACCCAUGCUGCCUGCCCCCCUGACACUGCUUGCCUUGCUGCAGUAGUGGGGGGAAAUUAAAUUAAGAAAACCCUCCAAAAUGAGAUACUAUACAUGGAAAAUACAUUCUCUAUUCUUAUACUGCUUCCUAGUCAUUUGUUCAUGUUUCCACUUCUUGUAAGCUUCCUUUUUGUGUUUUAGCUCAUGGAAGAGUUCCCUGCUAAGCCAAGCUGGUAUUCUGUGGAUAAGGAGACAGCAGUGAAUAUGAUAUACCUUGACUUUAGCAAUGCUUUUGAUAUGGCCCCCCCACAACAUUCUUGCAAACAAGCUAAGGAAGUAUGGUUUGAAUGAAGGGACUGUAAGGAGGAUAGAAACUUGGCUGGAUUAUUUUCAGACCUGGCU